AUUGAACGCUGGCGGAAUGCUUUACACAUGCAAGUCGAGCGGCAGCGCGGCCUUCGGGCUGGCGGCGAGCGGCGAACGGGUGAGUAAUGCAUCGGAACAUGCCCAGUCGUGGGGGAUAACACUUCGAAAGAAGUGCUAAUACCGCAUACGUCCUGAGGGGGAAAGCGGGGGAUCGCAAGACCUCGCGCGAUUGGAGUGGCCGAUGUCAGAUUAGGUAGUUGGUGGGGUAAAGGCCUACCAAGGCGACGAUCUGUAGCUGGUCUGAGAGGAGGAUCAGCCACACUGGAACUGAGACACGGCCCAGACUCCUACGGGAGGCAGCAGUGGGGAAUGUUGGACAAUGGGGGCAACCCUGAUCCAGCCAUUCCGCGUGAGUGAAGAAGGCCUUCGGGUUGUAAAGCUCUUUCGGCAGGAACGAAACGGUGGGCUCUAACAUAGUCCGCUAAUGACGGUACCUGAAGAAGAAGCACCGGCUAACUACGUG
rnacentral:rRNA from 1 species